GACGACCGCUGGCGGCGUGCCUAAUACAUGCAAGUAGAACGCAGUUGCGAACGGGCGAGUAACGCGUAGGUCACUGCCUGGUAGCGGAGGAUAACUAUUGGAAACGAUAGCUAAUAACGCAUACUCCAAGUUGGACCUGCUUUGUAUUAGCUAGUUGGUGGGGUAAAGGCUCACCAAGGCAACGCUACAUAGCCGGCCUGAGAGGGUGAUCGGCCACACGGGGACUUAGACACGGCCCAAGCUCCUACGGGAGGCAGCAGUGGGGAAUCUUCGGCAAUGGACGGAAGUCUGGCCGAGCAACGCCGCGUGAGUGGAGAAGGUUUUCGGAUCGUAAAGCUCUGUUGUAAGAGAAGCGGUAACUUACCAGAAAGGGACGGCUAACUACGUGCCAGCCGCCGCGGUAAUAC
rnacentral:rRNA from 1 species